rnacentral:lncRNA from 1 species
GUUGCUAUCACGCUAGCGUGGUAUCGUGGAGGAAGGGAUUUAGAAAGGCCUUGGGGAAUUGGAAGCUGAGGAAAAGAUACAUUUAGGUAUGAGGGAAAGAUACAUUUAUGUAUGCCCCAUUGUUUCGGGAAAGCUUCGCUUCAGCACCUUUCUGUAAGCCCCCUUCUCCCCACCCCUGAGCAGUUCCCAUUGGACCUGACCCCUGGGGUGGUUCUGAUGAGCCCAUGCUGAACACUGUCUCUAUUGUUUAGACCUUAUCUCUUAAUUUUGCUGUAUAAAACUGUAUCUGGGCAGUAGCCCAGGGUCUUUUGUCCCUGCAACUGUUCAGGCAAUACAAUCUUUCUGGACUGCAUACAACUGACCUCUCUUUGUCUCUUUAUCUCGACUCCUUGCGGCGACCGAGGUGCCGCAGCCGCUCGGACCGUGCUAACCCAGCCGCUGUCUGGUAAGCCCAGUGCAGCGGGACCGCGGCAAACCCCGGUCCCCUGAGGGGACAGCUAGCCGGAGGGGCCCCGGGGGGCCGGGGAGGGACGGGGGACAGCUGCAAGUGACCCCCGAAAGCCGCAAGUGGCGCCCAACGUGGGGCAUUGCAUCGGUUUGAGCGAACACGCCGCGGCCGCCGCGGGCAGUGCACCGGUUGGGAGCUUUUCCGGACACUGCGAUCGGUGUCGCCGCGAGCGACAGAGCGGCGAGCGGUGCGAAAAAAUCGCCACGCAGGCUGUCAGCUCCGCGGGGAGAAGCUCUCGGACCGCGCUGGUGGUGGGGCACUCGCCCUUCCACACAAGCCCGGCAGGACUGCCACCGCGGGGACAGGCACCGAUUUCUGUCCGGCGCUGUACCCGUGGAUGCGAACGGGACCUUCCAAACACCCGGAAGACUGUUUGCGGAGUCGGGAACCGUUGCUGCAGUGUGUUUUCUGAAGAACGGCGGUUGUCUGUUGCAGAGCCGUUCAUGGAUUUUGUGGAUCGAGUGAGAGCUUCAGUCGAGAAAAGGGUACAAAAUCCAGAGCUCCAAGAUCAGCUCACACUCGAAAUUGCCACCACAAAUGCAAAUGAAGCCUGUCAGCGAGUCAUCCUGGCCCUUCCAGCAUCGCCUCCACCCACACUCGAUCAGCUCAUUGAGGAGUGCACGAGAAAAGCUACACUAAUGACAAGGGACUCAGUGACAAAACCACGGGGGAAAGUGAUUGCAGAGGCAAUGGUAACCCCAAAAACACCAAGGGCUGCCAAGCCUCCUGCACCCAAACGCCGAUGCUAUUUCUGUAACCAGGAGGGACAUCUCAUAGGCCAGUGCCCUCUGAGGGGGAAAGCGGGGGCGGGGGAGGUCUCCAAUCAGCAAAAAAACUGAUUGGGGAGCGCGGUCCUAUCCCGCGUGAUGACACAAAUGGGGUGGGCCAAGGUGUUGUGGCCAGAGCUGCUGUUCACCACAUUGUACCUAGUGUCAGCAGCCAAGCUUACACCACUGAUAAGACCGAACCUUACCGAUUGAGACUCACUAAACCUGUUCAUUUUUCUAAUCAGGACUGGCAUUUCAUCACAGCCACAGCAGAGCUCCUGCCCCGCAUUCGGGACUGCGAAACUCGCAGACGGAAUGAUCUACUAAACUGCAAGUACCUUGUCAUUGGGGACACAAAGUACACUCCUAAGGAGAUAGAAAUCCCUCCUGGCAUCGUUUCACUCGAUCCCAGGACCUUCUAUCUCAUGGCACGCUGUGUCCACCCUCCUCUCUUCCUGGCGGAGGGACAGAUCAUUGCGCAGGCCAUUCCAGUGCCCCAUCUUUUGUGUGAUGAUCAUGCCCUCUCAGUCUUUUACACCGAGACGCUGGGAGAGGAGAAACCCCUUGUGUGGUGUGGCCUCCAGAGCGAGGGCCAUUCCGUUCUCCUUCAGGGGAUGAUGGACACCGGGGCAGAUGUG